AAGAUUAAACGUUCCUUAAAGAUAAAAUAUGUUUCUUUUCACCAAGUCAGAAUAUGGACAUGCUUUUAAUAUAUAGUGACGUGACAUACAGGCGCGCGCUUCCACAACUGACGCACCGCACGCACAGUAUUGACAAGAAAAGAGUUGUGAAACUUUCUAUCUCGUAAGGAGUUAUGAACGUAAAAUAGUGACACAGACUGGCUACACCAUCUCAUCUGCAGCAGAGACUGUUGUAUCAGAAGGACAGCGCAUUUGUUAGACGCACUUUUCACUUCAACUGUGUCUGACAGGAGAAUUAGCUUUCUGAGCCUUCUAGCCGUUGAGUUACCAUGGCAACCGCGUACACAUCAGCUGCUGGAGAGGAGUGGACUCGUCUGACAUUUUCUCUGUUUCUCGUCAGUCAUACCAAAGAAAAGGCCAACAACUGCAACAGAUUUGUUAAGUAACACGUUAAUAUCAUCCACAGUCUACUUUAAGUACUUUUUGUUAAUAUUUAUACCUCUGUGAUUAUGGUAUUUUUCCUGAAAUGUCUGCUAUCAAGUAUUACGCUAGCAUAGCAACAUAAUUAACGUUAUUGAGAAUGAGGAGAUGUCGUCACGACACAGCGCCCCGCCCCCAGAGACCGCGUCUCCUCCCCUUUCCGCCAUCUUGGGAGGAUACCCGCCAGCACAGUUCAUUGUUUACAUUGGUAGUAGAGGAGGUUGUCGCACUAUUCAAGAAAGCCUGGAAAACACUGCUGUGUAAAAAACUGAUCCAGUGUCACACACGAUUGUCGUGGAAACCGUAGGAACCAUUUUUUACAGUUUUUUCAUUUCCCUACAUGGAAAAAGCAUGAGGGAGAGCAUGUCUCCGAUGUGACAAAGAGACGUCGGAUUUCUUGGGUGGCAGCAAUUAAAAGAAAGGACAUUACUUUCGACCGCAUCUCUGAGUCGAUGAGAGUGUGUUCUCUGCAUUUUCAUUUGGGAAGCCACGAGCAUAGAGGCCACGAGAUACCACACAAGAGUCUCUUCCUUUUCAACAUCAACAACAGAGCUUUGCGGGACAUUUUCCGGCGACAAGAAUGGACUGGAUUUUCUGAGAGAGAGGAACAUUCCAGAAACCACCAUAAAAAGGCUGGAGGAGGGCAAGAUUGAUGUCAGUUUCCUACUGCUAAUGACUGAUGACCAGAUGAGAAGCUAUUUUCCUUCAUAUGGAGACAGAUUGGCAGUUUUGGGAUUUUGUAGGAGGCAAGAAACUGUGCCAAUUUGCAGGAAGUCAAAGCUGUUUGAGCGCCUAAAAUCAAAACUGAGCAAAAGACAAAAAACGAACAAUUCACAAACUGAAAACCAGGGCCUGAAUUCAUAAAGAUUCUAAGAAUCCUCUCAGAAAACUCUUCAUUUAUCUUAAAAACUUUUACGUA